UCGAAAUCCGCUAAGGAGUGUG
rnacentral:sRNA from 1 species